UCUGAAUCGAGCUGCAGUGCAGAACCUGAAUGGGGGCUUGGCCGCGGGUCAGUAUCGUCAAAAUUAGCUCUCUGUUCAAUGAUAUGCAGUCAGCCAGUGGACGCGGUAUAGUUGGGUUCUGACGCCCCUGUUCUGCAGCCUUGUAUGGGGUGUAAGAGCCCCCACAAGGCUGCUUACCACCGCUGGACCCUUUUUCUGUGCACACGAGCGUUUUGGGGGCAACAGCGGGCGAAAAAGCAAUUUAAGAGGACAACAAGAAGAAAGGCUUUAUCUGUUUCUGCUUCAAGAGUGACACCAACAGGUGCAAUGGACGAUCCCAAGAGCACUGACAGCUGUGUUCCUGGCCCUGGUGGCGCAGAGAAGAACUGCCAUGAAGAAUCAACAUUCCUUCUGUGUGAUGUUGGAUAGAGAAUGGCCCUGAGGAGGAAAUGUUAUCCUCAUAAAAUCCUGGGACUCUAAGCCUUGAUGAUAUGAUCUUUUGGAGGGGAGCGGCGGUAAAGACAUUCAGCACCUUAAGACAGAUCUGACUGGAGCUUCACUAAAGACCCACAUGUCUGUGUUAGCAAACUCCACAGCGGAUCCCUCGCGGCGGCGGCAGCAGCACGUCUUCCACUUGUCCACUUCUUCUAUUUUGUAUGGCUGUAAUCUUUCAUCCACCUCAUUGUUCAUACUGUAAUUCCUGUAAACAAACACACAAAGGGUUAAUCUACACAUCAAUGUUCUGUAUACAUGCAAGUACAUGGGACAAUACUGUAAACAUGCCAAUCACUAGUCGACCGAUAUGGGCUUUUUUUUUUCUUUCGUUUUAUUUAAUUUUUAUUGCCCAAUACAAAUGAGGGAAUUUACAGUUGUGAUUUCCUGUCUGGGAAAUGUCACGGAAGUUCAUCAAAUCUUCAGAAAGCAUGAUUUUUAAAACUGACCCAAAGAGUUACUUGCACUUAUGUUAAAGGAAUACUCCGGAUUUAAUACAAGACCACAUUUGUGUCAAUGUUGAUUACCGCAAAUAUUAAUUUUGACUCGUCCUGUGUGUUCCUGUGGGACACUUCCAAUGUAAGUCAAUGGGGUUUAAUCUGUAAACAUUAAAAUACUCACUGUUUCAAAAGUAUAGAUGCAAGGUAUGAACAAUAUGUGUGUUAACAUGAUAUUAGAUGGAUGAAAUCAGGGAUAUAUCAGUGCUGUGUCGCUUUCCAUAUUACGUGGUUUACAUGCGUUAUGUCGUCAUGACAACAAAGUUCUAAAAUUAGAUGUAACUUCACACAGAAAAGGUUUCCAAGCAAUUUUAUCACACUAAAAUCAUGUUAACAUGCAUAAUGUUUACGACUUGUGUCUGCACAUAUUUUAGCCUUUACGGAUUGGCCCCAUUGACUUCCAUUGUAAGCGCCUCACUGUAAAUGCAACCAUAUGAUUUACAUGGGACGAGUCGAAAUACAUUUUUUUUGUGGUAAUCAAUAUUAUGCCACAAAUGCUGUCGAUUGAGCUUAACUCGAACUGAACCAGGAAUAUUCCUUUAAUCUGCAAAAUAUUGGGCGUUGUCGACAAUCUCAUAAUUGCCAAAUGUUGGGCCGACCAAUAUAUGCAAUACGGUGCAAAAGUUUUAGGCAUGUGUGAAAAAUCUUGCAUAGUGAGGAUGUCUUCAAAAUAUAAUGACAAAAAUAAAAACUAUUUAUCACUUAAUGUCAUACAAAGUCCAGUAAACAUAUAAAAGCUAAAUCAAUUUUCGACGUUGCCCCCUUUGCCUUUAAAACAGUCCCAAUUCUCCUAGAUACACCUGGAAACAGUUUUUCUUGGUUGUUGGCCGAAUUUGCCACAGUUCUUCUGUCUAUUUUGGCUGUCUCAACUGUUUCUGUCUCUUUAUAUAAUCCCAGACUGACCCAAUGUUCAAUGGGGGGCUCUGUGAGGGCAAUGCCAUCUGUUGCCGGGCUCCCUGUUCAUCUAUUCUAUUUGCAAAAGUAAUGUUUCUUAGUCUAACAUUUAUAUUUCCUGACACAUUAUAGCUAAAGAUAUAAAUAACCAUUCUAAGACUAAAUGCUUUUGUGAAACAUCUUAAGUGCCUAAAACCUUUGCACAGUACUGUGUAUGUGUAUGUAUAUAUUAUAUAUAUAUAUAUAUAUAUAUAUAUAUAUCGUCUAUCACUACCAAACACACACAGACACCCAAACACUUCAGAUUCACAAUGUCCUUGCCAGAAAACACUUCUAUUUGUCUCCAUCACUAAACGACGUCAAUCAAUACUCACACUUUACAGUAUUUACUGAGGCUAAGAGUCCCCACUUCUCAUGCAGUUACUAAAACUAUGGAGUUCAUUUUUAAUUUUAUUUUGUAGAAUAUUUGCUUUUUAAUUAGUUUUGUUGCUUUGUUAGUAUAUUAAUGUGUAAUCAUGUAUGUUGUGAUAUAGAAAUAGCUGUAGAGACGUAUUGUUUCCUUGUGGUAAGUGACUGAGAUGCUGCCACGGAUUUGAGACACUGAUGAAUGGUGCUAUUUUGGACUUUUAUCUGCUCCUUGGUAAGGAAUGUCAGAUGGUUUUUAUUUUAUAUUUUCGUGUUGGGAGAAGGCGUUGGUACUUGUCUGGUUGUCGUAACUCGGAUCGGAUUGACUUUUCUCCCCGUGUUGUUUUCCGUGCGGCUUUCUCAUUGGAUGGAAAACGGGUUUGUCGAAGAGUUGGCGUUUUUUUGCCUCUGACGCGAUCUUUUUGCAAGAUUACAAAACCGUAGACAGUCGGAGCAAUCACAAAACUGCAAUUAUUAACACUAUUUACCCGUUAAAUGUAAAGGUUUAAUUCAAGAAGUAGUUUCGAUUCCUGGCGCUAGUCACUUCUAGGGUCCCGCGUGAAAUGAAUUUUUACAGGGGGUUUUUAAGCAAUGGCUUCCUUGCGGUUAAAGUGUGUAAUUGUACCCUACUUAAUAUACAGAGUCAACUAUAAAUACGCCAUUUGUAGGUUCAAUCUCCCCAAAACAUUUCCCUGUUUGUUUGAGCGUCCUGACCAGCUCGACGCCGCGACAUUGACUCAAUCAACGAAUCGCAGGAUUGGUGUUCAGAUGCCAGAAGUGGCACAGUAAUUACACACUUUACCUUUAAAUACAUCAAGGACACAUUUGAAUUGAAAUCACUGCAAAACAUGGAGGUGUUGCUGUUGUAGGUUGCUGUGCACAGUCCCAUGUGAAGGUGUUUUAUAUAGUGUACAUACCAGGGCAGCUGUAUACUCCGCACCAGCCGGGAAUAUCUGAUAAAUAAAAUCACAAGUCAUCCGUUUUGCACGCAGGGUCAUUUGAUGUAUUUUCUAGGGCAUCAAAACCAGCGGUCUCAACGAGUGGUUUUGUAAAUGACUUUUAUUCGUUAUACAAACCAAAAGCUUUAUAUUUAUUCCUUUGGGUGAGUCGUUUAAGUAGCAAGGUAUCAUCACUCGGUAUUUGCAGUUUUGUCUUUGCUUCCAGUUAACACAUUAACGAUCCCAAUUCAAAGACCAACUGGAAAGCCCACGUUAGUUUUGUCGUCUUCCAUAUUUUUCCACUCUAGUGGGAAAUUUCCCAGCUUGCUCUAGUCUUUCCUUAUUGCUGACAGCAUAUCCACUGCAUGCUCUUGGUUUUGUUUUUGAUCUAAAUCAUUGUACUUGUAGUUUCCUCACGUAGAAUAGGUAUGCCAACUUUGUUGUAAAUAGCCAGUGAAUUAUAUAUAGAUUGUUGAAUUACUGUCAUAACUGUGUAUUAUUGGUGUACAAACCUGAAGUCUAGCCUUGUGAACUUUAUAAUGAUUCACUAGUAAUUUCAUGACAUUUUGCAACUUAAGCUGUAGUUGAAUAAAUAUGCAAGCUCUCACAA